GUGCCUGAUAAUCAGUAUAGGACAGGGGACUGAAAAUCCCUGUGUCGGCGGUUCAAUUCCGUCCCUCGCCA
rnacentral:tRNA from 1 species